CCAAAUUGGGCAUGCGACGAAGGAACGUCCAUCCCCUGUCAACAUUCUGCAUCCCGGGGCACAACUAGAGCCGUACACCUGACCAUCAACGCCUUGUCUUCAUCGUCGAGGUUGGGGGACGGAUCCAGCCACAAUGGUCCACCGAACACCCGGAAGGGUAUCUGGCGGAAACAAAUGAUUGAGGAAAACAAUACCGUCAGUAGGAAUGAAACACAGAAAACCUUACCUCGCCCAAGGCUUAUCGCACUUGGAGCAAACACUGAAGAGGUUUAUCAGCGUGCGGUUCGAUGCACAAGCAUGGAGCCCGCCAGCCAAAAAAACC
rnacentral:misc_RNA from 1 species